CCAGACUCCUACGGGAGGCAGCAGUGAGGAAUAUUGGUCAAUGGGCGGAAGCCUGAACCAGCCAAGUCGCGUGAGGGAAGAAGGCCCUGCGGGUCGCAGACCUCUUUGGACGGGGAGCAAGGCCGCCGACGUGUCGGCGGAAGGAGAGUACCCGUAGAACAAGCAUCGGCUAACUCCGUGCCAGCAGCCGCGGUAAUACGUAUGGUGCAAGCGUUAUCCGGAUUUACUGGGUGUAAAGGGAGCGCAGGCGGCGCGUUAAGCCUGGUGUGAAAGCCCGCGGCCCAACCGCGGGACUGCAUUGGGAACUGGCGCGCUGGAGUGCCGGAGGGGUAGGCGGAAUUCCUAGUGUAGCGGUGAAAUGCGUAGAUAUUAGGAGGAACACCAGUGGCGAAGGCGGCCUACUGGACGGUGACUGACGCUGAGGCUCGAAAGCGUGGGGAGCAAACAGGAUUAGAUACCCUUGUAAC
rnacentral:rRNA from 1 species